rnacentral:rRNA from 1 species
GACGAACGCUGGCGGCGUGCUUAACACAUGCAAGUCGAACGGGAAGGCCCUUCGGGGUACACGAGUGGCGAACGGGUGAGUAACACGUGGGUGAUCUGCCCUGCACUUCGGGAUAAGCCUGGGAAACUGGGUCUAAUACCGGAUAGGACCACUGCCUGCAUGGGUGGUGGUGGAAAGCUUUUGCGGUGUGGGAUGGGCCCGCGGCCUAUCAGUUUGUGGGUGGGGUGAUGGCCUACCAAGGCGACAACGGGUAGCCGGCCUGAGAGGGUGACCGGCCACACUGGGACUGAGAUACGGCCCAGACUCCUACGGGAGGCAGCAGUGGGGAAUAUUGCACAAUGGGCGCAAGCCUGAUGCAGCGACGCCGCGUGAGGGAUGACGGCCUUCGGGUUGUAAACCUCUUUCAGCACCGACGAAGCGCAAGUGACGGUAGGUGCAGAAGAAGGACCGGCCAACUACGUGCCAGCCGCCGCUGUAA